rnacentral:rRNA from 4 species
UUGCCCCGAGAUGAGUUCUCCCUGAGACUUAGAGUCUCCUGAAGGAACGUUGAAGACGACGACGUUGAUAGGCCGGGUGUGUAAGCGCAGCGAUGCGUUGAGCUAACCGGUACUAAUGAACCGUGAGGCUUAACCUUACAACGCCGAAG